AUUUAAUAUGAUAGUAGUAAUACUAAUAGCAAUUAAAUUAUAUUGAUCCAAGUACCUAGGCAAUAAAAAAUUGAUAAGCAAAGUUGGGUAUUUAUGCCUUUGAAGUAUAAUAAAAAACAAGUGGGUUGUUACAGAACUAAUAUACCUUGCUUGAAUGGAUAAACUUCUUGCUGCAAACAUUUCUCUUCGAAUUCACCAAACCUUGGAAUGGUGUUGGCGAUGGAGGACUAGCAGAGUUCAAGAUCCAAAAAUGUGAUAGCUAGAUUAUUGAGAGUCAUUAUAGCUCAGAUCAAAUUUGUCGGAGCAGGGAGAAAACCAUCAAGAAACCUGAACUUAUUCUUGGAAAUAUGGGCCUGAUUUCAACCAUUCUGCAAUGGAUUUCAUCUGAUGUGGAGAUGGAACAACAGUGUAUUUCAAGCUUGAAGUCACUAGUGUCUUUGACAUCACUAAGACAAAAAGAAACAUUUUUCAUCUUUAUGUAGAAAAAAAAAAGGGAAACAAAAUUAAAUCACCUAAUAGCACAGUAAUAUACCUUUGGGCUAAAACAAA
rnacentral:lncRNA from 1 species